UACGGAGGGUGCAAGCGUUAUCCGGAUUCACUGGGUUUAAAGGGUGCGUAGGCGGGUUGGUAAGUCCGUGGUGAAAUCUCCGAGCUUAACUCGGAAACUGCCGUGGAUACUAUCAAUCUUGAAUAUCGUGGAGGUAAGAGGAAUAUGUCAUGUAGCGGUGAAAUGCUUAGAGAUGACAUAGAACACCAAUUGCGUAGGCAGCUUACUACACGAUCAUUGACGCUGAGGCACGAAAGCGUGGGGAGCAAACAGG
rnacentral:rRNA from 1 species